rnacentral:lncRNA from 1 species
UAAUAAACCAGCUCUUGUCCUACAGUCCAGGUAGGGGCGCUGACUCUGUAACUGUGGUUCCAGUAACUCCAGAGAAGUGGAGAAGCAGAGAAUCCAUCCAGAGCUGUUUUAUGGAGAGACUACCUACUAUCUAUAGAUUCCAGUUAUAUCAGAAAAUUACUGAUUACCACUAGAGGGAGCCCGCGCGCAAGCAGAAAAUGAAUGGGGAUGAAUGGAUCUAAACGGCUAAAAAUACAUAUGGAAGCGAGUAACUAAUUUAGGAUUAGGUAUUGUGCUAAACAUACAAAGAAAACGUACAUAUAAACGUACAUAUUAUUGUAUGCUUGCUUUUCUACAGCAAACAGGUUUAUACAGUAAAGGAGCUAUCAUCACUGCUACAGUGUGCAUUGAGACUGGCCGGUGAGCUGGAGUGUUGGAGUUACAGAAAACUGAAGGCCAUCCACUUCCAACUCAUCGUCUGCUUUUAGUAUCAAGUAUACUUUGUGGAUUAACUUUAUCUUUACAAAAACACUUAAUUAGGCAGUUUCUGAAAGAUGUUGAGC